rnacentral:rRNA from 1 species
CUGGUAAUAGUGGGAGUUUGUUCCCGGUUGAUGAGUGGUGGAUGGGAGAGUAAAGCGUAGGAAUUUGUCCAGUAGUGGGGGAUAACCCGGGGAAACUCGGGUUAAUAUUGUAUAUGUUUUAUGGGGGAAAGGUGGUUUCUCCUUGGAAGUUGUCACUAUUGGAUGAGCCUGCGUUGGAUUAGUUAGUUGGUAAGGUAAUGGUUUACCAAGGUGAUGAUUUAUAGCUGGUCUGAGAGGAUGAUCAGCUAUAUUGGGAUUGAGAUAUGGCCCAGACUCCUAUGGGAGGUAGUAGUGGGGAAUAAUGUAUAAUGGGGGAAAUUUUGAUGUAGUAAUGCCGCGUGUGUGAAGAAGGCCUGUGGGUUGUAAAGUACUUUUAAUUGGGAAGAAAAGCGAAGGGCUAUUAUCCCUUUGUUUUGAUGUUAUUUUUAGAAGAAGCACCGGUUAAUUCCGUGUUAGUAGUUGUGGUAAUAUGGAGGGUGUGAGCGUUAAUUGGAAUUAUUGGGUGUAAAGUGUGUGUAGGUGGUUUAGUAAGUCAGAUGUGAAAGUCCUGGGUUUAAUUUGGGAAUUGCAUUUGAUAUUGCUGGAUUGGAGUAUGGUAGAGGGAAGUGGAAUUCCGGGUGUAGUGGUGAAAUGUGUAGAUAUCCGGAGGAAUAUUAGUGGUGAAGGUGAUUUCCUGGAUUAAUAUUGAUGUUGAGGAGUGAAAGUGUGGGUAGUAAAUAGGAUUAGAUAUCCUGGUAGUUCACGCUGUAAAUGAUGUUAACUAGCCGUUGGGAGCUUUAAUGUUCUUAGUGGCGUAGUUAAUGUGAUAAGUUGAUUGUCUGGGGAGUAUGGUUGUAAGGUUAAAAUUUAAAGGAAUUGAUGGGGGCCCGUAUAAGUGGUGGAGUAUGUGGUUUAAUUUGAUGCAAUGUGAAGAAUUUUAUUAGCCCUUGAUAUUUUGUGAAUUUUCUAGAGAUAGAUUGGUGUUUUUGGGAAUGUAGUGAUAGGUGCUGUAUGGCUGUCGUUAGUUUGUGUUGUGAGAUGUUGGGUUAAGUCCCGUAAUGAGCGUAAUCCUUGUCCUCAGUUGUUAGUGGUUUGGUUGGGAAUUUUGGGGAGACUGCCGGUGAUAAACCGGAGGAAGGUGGGGAUGACGUUAAGUCAUUAUGGCCCUUAUGGGCUGGGCUACAUAUGUGUUAUAAUGGCCGGUAUAGAGGGUAGCGAUCCCGUGAGGGUGAGCGAAUCUCAUAAAACCGGUCGUAGUUUGGAUCGCAGUCUGUAAUUUGACUGCGUGAAGUUGGAAUCGUUAGUAAUCGCGAAUUAGUAUGUCGCGGUGAAUACGUCCCCGGGCCUUGUAUAUAUUGCUUGUUAUAUUAUGGGAGUGGGUUGCAAAAGAAGUGGGUAG